UGAGCGGAGGAAAAGAAACUAACAAGGAUUCCCCUAGUAACUGCGAGUGAAGCGGGAAAAGCUCAAAUUUAAAAUCUGGCGGUCUUUGGCCAUCCGAGUUGUAAUUUAGAGAAGCGUCUUCCGCGCCGGACCGUGCACAAGUCUCCUGGAAUGGAGCGUCAUAGAGGGUGAGAAUCCCGUCUUUGGCACGGAUGCCUGGUGCUUCUGUGAUGCGCUCUCGAAGAGUCGAGUUGUUUGGGAAUGCAGCUCAAAAUGGGUGGUGAACUCCAUCUAAAGCUAAAUAUUGGCGAGAGACCGAUAGCGAACAAGUACCGUGAGGGAAAGAUGAAAAGCGCUUUGGAAAGAGAGUGAAACAGUACGUGAAAUUGUUGAAAGGGAAACGCUUGAAGUCAGUCGCGUCGACCGAGACUCAGCCUUGCCUCGGCUUGGUGUACUUCUCGGCCCGACGGGUCAGCAUCAAUUUUGGCCCUCGGAUAAUGGCAGAGGAAAGGUGGCACCUUUACGGGUGUGUUAUAGUCUCCUGUCGCAUGCGAGGGGUGGGAUUGAGGAACUCAGCGCGCACCUCAAUGUCGGGGCUUCGGCCCACGUCACGCGCUUAGGAUACUGGCGUAAUGGCUUUAAACGACC
rnacentral:rRNA from 1 species